ensembl:lncRNA
AGGAGUAUCUUCCUGCCUCCUAGGCCCUUGCCCUGUCCUCAGCAAGUCUUCUGUGGACUUUUGGCUAUGGUCACCUCAAAUCGAAAAUACUAUCGGUGCCUCUUGCUGAACUCAAGCUCUGGAGUGGCUCGCAGAGGAACCAGAGAUGUCAACAGAAGAGUAGUAUGGGUGAUGAUGAUGAUGAUGAUGAUGAUGAUGAUGAUGGUGACUUUGGCAUUGGCUAUGAGAGCCAAACUUCCUGUGACAACAAAAUGGAGCAAGAAUUGACUGAUACAGACACAGGAAAUGCAGACCUCCUUGAUUCAAAUGUCGAAGAAAAUAGCAACACUUUUUACACCAAAAAACAGUUAAUGGAGCACCUAGAAGGAAGCUCCCCCACUGCCAUCCCAAGCUCCUAGGUCGGAGAAGGUGAGCCAGUCCCAGAACCCAGAAGGAAGCACCCCUGCCACCAUGCCAAGCUCCUAGGGCAGAGAAGGUGAGCUGCAUGGGCACCAGAAGCACCCCUCCCCCCUAUGGAAAUGAGAAGACACGAAAACAAGCCUCAAAAACAGACUUCCAGAUCACCUACAGCAACCUCAAAGGCAAACGAGAUGGAACAAUCUGAUACUCAACCACCUGGACUCUCUGAACUGGCAACAAAAGAAGAUCUGGGAAAAAUGAAAUCAGAAAUAAUUACUCAGAUAACAGCAAAGAUUUUGCUCAUGGUGCAAGACAUGAUUAAUAAAUCUAGAGAGGACACAGAUAAA